rnacentral:rRNA from 1 species
UACGUAGGGGUGCAAGCGUUGCCCGGAUUUAUUGGGCGUAAAGGGCGCGUAGGCGGCUCUGCACGUUCGUUGUGAAAUCGCCCGGCUCAACUGGGGCGGGGUCAGCGGAUACGGCAGAGCUUGAGCAAGCUAGGGGGCAAUGGAAUUCCCGGUGUAGUGGUGGAAUGCGUAGAUAUCGGGAGGAACACCAGUGGCGAAGGCGGUUGCCUGGGGCUUUGCUGACGCUGAUGCGCG